UAUGAAUGACACGUGUACAUGGAUUAGUUGAUCCUAAGGGUCGGGGAAGCCCGACAGACAGCGCGUUUGUGCAUGCGUUGAAAGGGAAUCGGGAUAAAAUU